rnacentral:rRNA from 1 species
CCUACGGGAGGCAGCAGUGGGGAAUAUUGGUCAAUGGGCGCAAGCCUGACCCAGCAACGCCGCGUGAAGGAAGAAGGCUUUCGGGUUGUAAACUUCUUUUCUGAGGGACGAAGAUAGUGACGGUACCUCAGGAAUAAGCCACGGCUAACUACGUGCCAGCAGCCGCGGUAAUACGUAGGGGGCAAGCGUUAUCCGGAUUUAUUGGGUGUAAAGGGCGUGUAGGCGGGAAAGCAAGUCAGAUGUGAAAACUCAGGGCUCAACCCUGGGACUGCAUUUGAAACUGUUUUUCUUGAGUGCGGGAGAGGUAAGCGGAAUUCUGUGUGUAGCGGUGAAAUGCGUAGAUAUAAGGAGGAACACCAGUGGCGAAGGCGGAUUGCUGGACAGUAACUGACGCUGAGGCGCGAAAGCGUGGGGAGCAAACAGGAUUAGAUACCCGGGUAGUC